AGUAACCUGCUUGGGUCCCCUUCCACGGUGUGGAAGCUUUGUUCUUUUGCACUUUGCAAUAAAUCUUAGGCUGCUCAUUCUUUGGGUCCACACUGCCUUUAUGAGCUGUAACACUCACGGCGAAAGUCUGCAGCAUCACUCCUGAAGCCAGUGAAACAACGAACCCACCGGGAGAAACGAACAACUCCAGACUCGCCACCUCAAGAGCUGUAACACUCACCUCGAAGGUCUGCAGCUUCACUCCCGAGCCAGUGAAACCACGAACCCACCGGAAGGAAGAAACUCUGAACACAUCCAAACGUCAGAAGGAACAAACUCCAGACACGCAGCCUUUAAGAACUGUAACACUCACUGCGAGGGUCCGUGGCUUCCUUCUUGAAGUCAGUGAGAGGAAGAACCCACCAAUUCCGGUAGGAGUAGGGAAUCACAUCACCUUCUUUUAAUCAGUCUCAAAUACCUGGCCCCUUGUGGAACCUGCAAGAGCCAGGUUUGGCGAAUGCAAUGAUAAGCAAUUGUCUAAUCACUGCCUUGAAAAAGAGCAGAGCAUUUGAGUAUGCUGUCUCCUCCUCUCCCUCACUUCAGUUGGGCCCAACAUGACAGUCUUAAUGGAAGCGCGGGCGUCAAAGGCUGGUGGCUUACUUCAUGUAUAUUGCAGCAUUUCGGUACUUCUCUGCACGUGUGCUCCCCCGACUGAUGAGCUUACUCCAGUGCCCACAGAUACGACAGAGUUCCCGAGUGCCCCUCACACUCUAUUAGCUGCAUCCUUAACCUCUUUUUGCCGCACCAUAAGCAUUGGGGUUUUUUUGUUUGUUUUGAGAUGGAGUCUUGGUCUGUUGCCAGGCUGGGGUGCAAUGGCGUGAUCUCAGCUCACUGCAAUAUCUGCCUCCAGGGUUCAAGCGAUUCCCCUGCCUCAGCCUCUUGUAUUAGCUGGGACUACAGACACACACCACCACGCCCAGCUAAUUUUUUUGUAUUUUAGUAGAGACGGUUUCACGAUGUUGGCCAGGAUGGUCUUGAUCUCCUGACCUCGUGAUCUGCUCGCCUCGGCCUUCCAAAGUGCUGGGAUUACAGGCAUGAGCCACGGCGCCUGGCCGGCAUUGGGGUAUUUUCUUGAAGAUGGAAGCCAUGAAUGUUGAGAAAGCCUCAGCAGAUGGGAACUUGCCAGAGGUGAUCUCUAACAUCAAGGAGACUCUGAAGAUAGUGUCCAGGACACCGGUUAACAUCACUACGGCAGGGCACUCUGGCAAUGGGAUGUCUACCUUCAUCAGUGCCCUUCGAAACACAGGACAUGAGGGUAAGGCCUCACCUCCUACUGGGCUGGUAAAAGCUACCCAAAGAUGUGCCUCCUAUUUCUCUUCCCACUUUUCAAAUGUGGUGUUGUGGGACCUGCCUGGCACAGGGUCUGCCACCAAAACCCUGGAGAACUACCUGAUGGAAAUGCAGUUCAACCGGUAUGACUUCAUCAUGGUUGCAUCUGCACAAUUCAGCAUGAAUCAUGUGAUGCUUGCCAAAACCGCUGAGGACAUGGGAAAGAAGUUCUACAUUGUCUGGACCAAGCUGGACCUGGACCUCAGCACAGGUGCCCUCCCAGAAGUGCAGCUACUGCAGAUCAGAGAAAAUGUCCUGGAAAAUCUCCAGAAGGAGCGGAGCUCUAGAAACCAACAAGUGUACCCAAACCACAGCCACGUACCUCUUGCUUGCUGAAAGGAUCCUGAGAGAAAAGCAAGACAAAGAAAUACAGAUCAGCUCCACAAGCCCUAGAAAUAGCAAGGCCCAGCUCAGCUGGCCUGCCAUGAGAAAUACCUCAAGAGUACUCCAGAGAAUUCCACAAGGCCCAGAAAUAUGUUGCAAGCCCACUCCCUACUUUGCUUUUCUUAUUGCACUGGCUAAAUUCACCAGUGUAAUGUUAACUAGAAAGAGUCAAGUAAAUAUUCUUGCCUUUUUCCAGCCAUUAAAUAUGGUGUUUCCUGUAGGUUUUUUAUCUAUGCCCUUUAACUAUUUGAGGAGGCUGCCCUUUAUUCCCAGUUUACUUAAAGGUUUAUUAUUUUUUCAAUCUACAAUACAUUUUUUUGAGACAGGGUCUCAUUCUGUCACCCAGGCUGGAGUGCAGUGGUGCAAUCACUGCAGCCUUGAGCUCCUGGGGUCAAGGUGUCCUCCCACCUUGUCCUCUUAAAGUAUGGGGAUUACAGACGUGAGCCACAAUUUUCUUGUUUUGUUGUUCCUAUUUUGUGUGUUUUCCUAUUUCUUCAUCUUCUUUUAUUUUUAUCAUGUCCUUUUUAUUUUUUGGAGUUAGAUCACAGCGUUUUUUUAUUCUAACCUAUUGAGACUGUUGCUUAGGUAUUUUCAGGCUUUCUUUUUGCCUGAUCUAUACUUACUGCUAUACAUUGUCCUCUAUUAUAGGUUUAGGCAGAGUAAAUUUUGUGAAUGGUAUGCAGUAAAUUUGUUUUUUCUUUGUUUUACCCAUUUGGAUAACUGAGCCAGAGGCAUUACUGAAAAG